UACGGAGGGGGCUAGCGUUGUUCGGAAUUACUGGGCGUAAAGCGCACGUAGGCGGAUCAGUCAGUUAGAGGUGAAAGCCCAGGGCUCAACCCUGGAACUGCCUUUAAUACUGCUGGUCUGGAGUCCGAGAGAGGUGAGUGGAAUUCCGAGUGUAGAGGUGAAAUUCGUAGAUAUUCGGAAGAACACCAGUGGCGAAGGCGACGUGCUGGGUUGCACCUGACGCUGAGAUGCGAAAGUGUGGGGAGCAAACGGG
rnacentral:rRNA from 1 species